UUAAGUUCAGCGGGUAUUCCUACCUGAUCCGAGGUCAACCUUUGGGUUACAGUGGGGGGGUUUCACGGCAGGAGCCCGCCGCACGCCCUGAGCGAGAUGUGCUACUGCGCUCGGUGUGACUAGCGAGCCCGCCACUGGUUUUCAGGGCCUGCGGGCAGCCGCAGGGCCCCAGCACAGGCCCCCCGGAGGGGGCCUGAUGG
rnacentral:misc_RNA from 1 species